GACAGAGGAUGCAAGCGUUAUCCGGAAUGAUUGGGCGUAAAGCGUCUGUAGGUGGCUUUUUAAGUUCGCCGUCAAAUCCCAGGGCUCAACCCUGGACAGGUGGUGGAAACUACCAAGCUAGAGUACGGUAGGGGCAGAGGGAAUUUCCGGUGGAGCGAUGAAAUGCGCAGAUAUCGGGAGGAACACCGAUGGCGAAGGCAGCACUCUGGGCCGGUACUGACGCUGAGGAGCGAAAGCGUGGGGAGCGAACAGG
rnacentral:rRNA from 1 species